AUUGAACGCUGGCGGCCGGCCUCACACAUGCAAGUCGAGCGAGCGGCGGACGGGUGAGUAAUGUAUGGGGCUCUGCCUGAUGGAGGGGGAUAACUCCUGGCAACGGUAGCUCAUACAGCAUACCAUCCUAUGAACCAAUAGGUGAUUAGCUUGUAGGUGGUGUAACGGCUCACCUAGGCGACGAUCCCUAGCUGGUCUGAGAGGAUGAUCAGCCACACUGGGACGGAGACACGGCCCAGACUCCUACGGGAGGCAGCAGUGGGGAAUAUUGCACAAUGGGCGCAAGCCUGAUGCAGCCAUGCCGCGUGUAUGAAGAAGGCCUUCGGGUUGUAAAGUACUUUCAGUCGGGAGGCGUUACCGACAGAAGAAGCACCGGCUAACUCCGUGCCAGCAGCCGCGGUAAUAC
rnacentral:rRNA from 1 species